CUUUUUGCCAGCCAUCUCAUUCCAAGCAGUCAAACCAGAAUGUAACUCUUUAAAGAUAUAAUAGAAGGUACAAAUCGGAAUAUCCCAGAAGAAUGCCAAAAACAAAGGGCUAUUCUGCAAUGACAUAAUAGCAUAGUAUGCCUUAAUGGAUUUGUGUGUGGCUACGCCCCGGCCACUUUUAAACAUUACACUUGUAAUGAUAUAAAAAUCCUGAUUAUUCACUGUUACAGAAUAGUCUACUGAGGGCUCCACAGCCAUCCUUUUCUAUUUCUACUGUUCUGAGAAUAUGUAAAGGGUCACACCAACCACACUGCACAUCCAGUUAUUUUUUUUGUGCUGGGGACUAG